rnacentral:rRNA from 1 species
UAUUUUGAUUGUGCAAAGGUAGCAUAAUAAUUAGUUUUUUAAUUGAGAACUGGUAUGAAUGGUUGGACGAGAAAAAAACUGUCUCAAUUUAAAUUUUAUUAGAAUUUUAUUUUUAAGUUAAAAAGCUUAAAUAAUUUUAAUAGACGAGAAGACCCUAUAGAGUUUUAUAAAAUUUAAAUUAAUAUAUAUUAAAGAAUAUUAUAAUUUAUUUAUUUUAAUUUUAUUUAGUUGGGGUGAUUAAAAAAUUUAAUAAACUUUUUUUAAAAAAAUUACAUUUAUAUAUGAAUAAUUGAUCC